UUUGAUCCUGGCUCAGGACGAACGCUGGCGGCGUGCUUAACACAUGCAAGUCGAGCGGUAAGGCCUUUCGGGGUACACGAGCGGCGAACGGGUGAGUAACACGUGGGUGAUCUGCCCUGCACUCUGGGAUAAGCUUGGGAAACUGGGUCUAAUACCGGAUAUGACCACAGCAUGCAUGUGUUGUGGUGGAAAGAUUUAUCGGUGCAGGAUGGGCCCGCGGCCUAUCAGCUUGUUGGUGGGGUAAUGGCCUACCAAGGCGACGACGGGUAGCCGACCUGAGAGGGUGACCGGCCACACUGGGACUGAGACACGGCCCAGACUCCUACGGGAGGCAGCAGUGGGGAAUAUUGCACAAUGGGCGGAAGCCUGAUGCAGCGACGCCGCGUGAGGGAUGAAGGCCUUCGGGUUGUAAACCUCUUUCAGCAGGGACGAAGCGUGAGUGACGGUACCUGCAGAAGAAGCACCGGCUAACUACGUGCCAGCAGCCGCGGUAAUACGUAGGGUGCGAGCGUUGUCCGGAAUUACUGGGCGUAAAGAGUUCGUAGGCGGUUUGUCGCGUCGUUUGUGAAAACCCGGGGCUCAACUUCGGGCUUGCAGGCGAUACGGGCAGACUUGAGUGUUUCAGGGGAGACUGGAAUUCCUGGUGUAGCGGUGAAAUGCGCAGAUAUCAGGAGGAACACCGGUGGCGAAGGCGGGUCUCUGGGAAACAACUGACGCUGAGGAACGAAAGCGUGGGUAGCAAACAGGAUUAGAUACCCUGGUAGUCCACGCCGUAAACGGUGGGCGCUAGGUGUGGGUUCCUUCCACGGGAUCUGU
rnacentral:rRNA from 1 species